CUAGGCUGCGUCGGUCACUGAAUAUCAGUGAUCGGGUUUAGCAGCCUGUUUC
rnacentral:ncRNA from 1 species